rnacentral:rRNA from 1 species
CCUGCAAGUCGAGCGGUAGCACAGAGAGCUUGCUCUCGGGUGACGAGCGGCGGACGGGUGAGUAAUGUCUGGGAAACUGCCUGAUGGAGGGGGAUAACUACUGGAAACGGUAGCUAAUACCGCAUAAUGUCGCAAGACCAAAGUGGGGGACCUUCGGGCCUCAUGCCAUCAGAUGUGCCCAGAUGGGAUUAGCUAGUAGGUGGGGUAACGGCUCACCUAGGCGACGAUCCCUAGCUGGUCUGAGAGGAUGACCAGCCACACUGGAACUGAGACACGGUCCAGACUCCUACGGGAGGCAGCAGUGGGGAAUAUUGCACAAUGGGCGCAAGCCUGAUGCAGCCAUGCCGCGUGUGUGAAGAAGGCCUUCGGGUUGUAAAGCACUUUCAGCGGGGAGGAAGGCGAUAAGGUUAAUAACCUUGUCGAUUGACGUUACCCGCAGAAGAAGCACCGGCUAACUCCGUGCCAGCAGCCGCGGUAAUACGGAGGGUGCAAGCGUUAAUCGGAAUUACUGGGCGUAAAGCGCACGCAGGCGGUCUGUCAAGUCGGAUGUGAAAUCCCCGGGCUCAACCUGGGAACUGCAUUCGAAACUGGCAGGCUAGAGUCUUGUAGAGGGGGGUAGAAUUCCAGGUGUAGCGGUGAAAUGCGUAGAGAUCUGGAGGAAUACCGGUGGCGAAGGCGGCCCCCUGGACAAAGACUGACGCUCAGGUGCGAAAGCGUGGGGAGCAAACAGGAUUAGAUACCCUGGUAGUCCACGCCGUAAACGAUGUCGAUUUGGAGGUUGUGCCCUUGAGGCGUGGCUUCCGGAGCUAACGCGUUAAAUCGACCGCCUGGGGAGUACGGCCGCAAGGUUAAAACUCAAAUGAAUUGACGGGGGCCCGCACAAGCGGUGGAGCAUGUGGUUUAAUUCGAUGCAACGCGAAGAACCUUACCUGGUCUUGACUUC